AGAGAAAAGUGUGGGAAAUUCAAGGAAACAAGUGACAAAAGGUGGUGAGUCCUCCGAUAAAGGCAAGGAAAUUGCAUUCGAGGACCAGUAGUCAAAGUACUUCGAAAAUUUGCACUCUAGACAUUGCUCAGUAUAGGUUGUAGAUAGCCAAUAUCGUCAAAGGCUACAGUUGGCUUUACUUCCUAAAAAACUGUAG